rnacentral:rRNA from 12 species
GUGAACAGCAGUUGGACACGGGUCAAUCGAUCCUAAGAGAUAGGGUAAUUCCGUUUUAAUGUCGGCGCUUGCGCCGCGCCCUCGAAAGGGAAGCCGGUUAAAAUUCCGGCAUCUGGAUGUGGAUUCUCCGCGGCAACGCAACUGAGAGCGGAGACCUUGGCGGGAGCCCCAAGAAGAGUUCUCUUUUCUUCUUAACUGCCUCUUGCCCUGGAAUCGGUUCGGCCGGAGGUAGGGCUACACGGCAGGCAAAGCACCCUAAGUCUUGGGGUGUCCGGCGCGCUCCCGACGG